CUCCCACAUGUUUGAUAUGCUCUUGACGGCAUAUAUGUAAAGGUUAGUGUAAAUGAAAACUUUUCUGACAAUGUCGUGGUGUGCACGAAGUUUUUUUUUGUAAACGAAGAAGGUGAAAUGUCUGUUUAUGAAUAUGCCGGGCACGUGGAAAUGUAGUCAUAAACUGCUGCAAAAUAAAUUUAAAGUCACAUAAAUGCAAAUAAAGAAUUUCUCAAGGCUGUCCUGACAUGCAUCAAUACCAAAUGUUUCCAUCACCUGCAAGAAAACAUCCUGGGAUGGAGGUGACUUCAUGAUCUUUAGGCCAGUUCCCAUGUACAGUCCAUUUGGAGUCAAUUUGCAGUUGGAGCGAGCUUCAGAUCCAGGACUAUGUGGAGUAAAACAGACUGAAAUGCUGUCAGGGAUCACACUGUUAGCAUCUGAUGUUGAUUCAGCCUUUUAUUCGCUUUUAUAACAUGACAGCAGAUGGGUUCAAAGAUUAAUGAUCCCCACCAUCUGCUGCUACUGAACAGAUGUAUCUGACUAUAUAAACUGAUCAGUUUCAUACUAAUCUACUUUGGACAUACAUUAAAUAAAGCCUGUGAGCUAGUUCAGGCAGGCAGUUCAAGCUGUGUUGACCUCCAAGAUUGGCUAUUUAAGCUACAAGGUUUCUGACAUCAGUACUUGUUUGCUUUUUCCAUCACUGCCGUAAAUAAGAUCAGAUUUUCAGCCACGUCAUGACCCCAACACCCACCAUGUAUCGUCUCAACACUACUAACUUUUAAACAAAACUGUAAAGGGUGAUAAUCUUAGAGUUCAGAUGCCAAACUCAGGCAAUGUCCUGCUGGUGCAAUUAACAGUUCAAAGCAUGAAGCUGGAGCUGUCUGACUGAAAUAAGAAAGGUGAACAGCGACAUAAACACCCAUCUGGCCUUAAGUUUGAUCGUUUUCUGGUCUUAAAAGUUUACAAAGACUUUAUUUUGGGUCUAUUUGAGAUCAGACUAUUUCUAUCUGGGAGAAACCUGACCUUUAAAUAUCCCAUCAGAUUUGGUUAAAGUCAGAAAACAACUUUGUUUGACUCAAAAAUUAUUUCGACGGGUGUUAAAAUUGAUCUUGAAAGGAUUUACAAGACGGGUUUUUAUUUCAGUGCAUCGUCUGCUGGGAAAAAGGGGCAAAGGUUAAACCGGCAAAUAAUAGGUUCCCUUAAAAUAAAUUUGCUGACAAGAUAUCUGAAAAAUCUCCUCAUAAAAAUAGACUCCGUCAGGGGAACAUGAAUCAAAAGUGUGACAUAAAUUAGAUUACAUUACACACUCCUCAGAUCCUUCAAAUAACCACAGCUGAAGAUUCGUACCAACACCUGCAGCCUAACUCCCCUCCUGCUUGGAGGCUCACAGCUGCUGAUCAAAGACAAGAGUACCCCCAAGGACCAGACCGAGUAUUAGUAGCUGCAAAAGCUACCGCAGAAAAUAAUCUAGUUUGGGAAAUGCACAAAAAAAAAAAAUGUAAUGAGCUUAAAAAUGUGAAACCAAGACAGAGGCAGGCGGAGAAUAACACUUGGCAUCCUAUGUAGUCUUUGGCCUGCCUUCAAGGUAAAUGUUGCCCACCAUAGUGUCUCAGAGAUGGUGGUAUGUUCAAACAUCGCUCGUUCUUCCUUAAAAGGAGGCCAAAACAGUCUAAGUUUAUAAGGCCAUGAGUUGGGAGAGUUUGUUUUAGCUUCGCUCUGGACUUAAUUUGAAAUACUUGUCCACGUUGUUAGCGGAGAGUGGAAACACAGAGCGGCUGACUUAUUCAGGGGGCUUUUCUUAGUGUGUGUGUCUCAUUACAUAAAACAGGAUAUUUAAAGGCAGCCUGCAGCUUUGGGUUUGUGCUCUGUGCUCCACUGAUUUAAGUCAAGAAAAACAUUUGCUUCGGAUUAGUGCAGCGCUGAUGCUAUCAGCACUGAAUGCGCUGAUGUUGGGUGUUCACUGGUACCUCGUAUAAUUUAGAGUGAUUUUGUGUUGAGAUUUUCCAGAAGCUGAAGAACGGAGGGAGUCUGCAGGAAAGAAGACGCCCCAAGUCAUCAGACGAGACCCGUUUCCUAAAUUUGUACACCUUCCCUGCGAGCGUAAACUGACCCCAGCUGUUGUGUUUCCUUUUUUUUUCUCCCUGUGACCACAUCAGGCGAGUGGAUUUUAAGGAACUGGCUCAGCGCUGCCUGGACAUGAAUGGGACAUUUAGAGGACUGCUGACUGGGAGCUGUGUUGUGCCUCACAUGUGGUCCGUGACCCUCGUUUCAAACGGCGUUGAAAAAAGAAAACAGGAUGCGUAAAGCAUCUGACUCGGCCCAUUUGUGCGAGUGACUAAAUGUGAGGCAAUGGGGCAAGUCUGGG